ACUCAAAUGAAUUGACGGGGGCUCGCACAAGCGGUGGAGCGUGUGGCUUAAUUCGUCGCCAAGCGAAGAACCUUACCAAGAUUAGAAAUCCUACUGCACGCCUUGUGAAAGCAAGGAAGCCUUCGAGGGUGUAGGACAGGUGAUGCAUGGCUGUCGUCAGUUCGUGGUUUGAAUUGUUCCCUUCAGUGGGGUAACGAACGCAACCCUUAUUGCCUGUUACAAGUGUCAGGCGAGACUGCCCCUUCACAGGGGAGGAAGGUGAGGAUGACGCCAAGUCAGCAUGUCCCUCUGAUAUCUUGGGCUGCACACGCGCUACAAUGGUAAAUAACAACGGGGCGCAACGCCGAGAGGCUGAGCAAAUCCUUAAAUAUUACCUCAGUUCGGAUCGUAGUCUGCAACUCGACUACGUGAAGUUGGAAUCGCUAGUAAUCGCGGGUCAGCACACCGCGGUGAAUACGUUCUCGAGCCUUGUACACACCGCCCGU
rnacentral:rRNA from 1 species